GAUUAUUACCCUGUCUUUGGUGUUGAUCUGAAUGGAUCAACUUAAAAGGGAACGUGGUGCGUCAUGCAUGACAAGGCCACGGCUGCCCCCGCAACUGUAAGCGGUCAGAGCACUGCAUAUGCCACUGGUGCAAACCGGGAAGGCGUAGUGCUUUUCAAACCGCGAGCCAGGAGACCUGCCUUUGACUGCCGGGUGCU
rnacentral:ncRNA from 2 species